AAGUUUUUAAGAUCACAUAAUCACACCAGUACCAUUGAAGGCAGAGGAAGGGAGUGAGUCUGAUCCGCGGUUUUUUUCCUUUUAAUUGAGGGAUAGAGACCACAUAAGCAAGCAUUUUGAGCAAGAGAAAGGAAUUUUUUAAGAUCACAUAAUCACACCAGUACCAUUGAAGGCAGAGGAAGGGAGUGAGUCUGAUCCGCGGCUUUUUUCCUUUUAAUUGAGGGAUAGAGACCACAUAAGCAAGCAUUUUGAGCAAGAGAGAGAAAGGAAUUUUUUAAGAUCACAUAAUCACACCAGUACCAUUGAAGGCAGAGGAAGGGAGUGAGUCUGAUCCGCGGUUUUUUUCCUUUCUACCGUUUCAGGAGGCAUCAAAGUACGCUUCAAUCGGCCAUACAGUUGUACAGUCUGUGAGUUUAGC